rnacentral:lncRNA from 1 species
CCAAGAAGGCAAGUCGUGUCCUUGAUCACUACCUUUUUGUCCCAUACACCUUUACUUUCUCGUACUCAACAUUUAUGCUAUGCACAUAUUAAGAUUAAAUUGAUGGGUCCCAAUUAAGGUUCGCCUAGAUUGAUUUACCUUUGCCUUGACCAACCGGUUUACUUUAUGUUGGGUAGCUCAUGCUUAGUGCUUACUUGGUAUACGGUGGUUUAAC